GGGGUUGUAGCUCAGUGGUAAAGUACUUGCCUAGCAAGUGUGAAGCCCUGAGUUUAAUCCUCAGCAUCACAA
rfam:Ictidomys tridecemlineatus contig053776, whole genome shotgun sequence.